UUAAAUUGAAGAGUUUGAUCAUGGCUCAGAUUGAACGCUGGCGGCAGGCCUAACACAUGCAAGUCGAACGGUAACAGAAAGCAGCUUGCUGCUUUGCUGACGAGUGGCGGACGGGUGAGUAAUGUCUGGGAAACUGCCUGAUGGAGGGGGAUAACUACUGGAAACGGUAGCUAAUACCGCAUAACGUCGCAAGACCAAAGAGGGGGACCUU
rnacentral:rRNA from 1 species